UACGAGGGGGGCGAGCGUUGUUCGGAAUUAUUGGGCGUAAAGGGUGCGUAGGCGGUUUGGUAAGUCUUGUGUGAAAUCUACAGGCUCAACUUGUAGUCUGCACGAGAAACUGCCGGGCUUGAGUGUGGGAGAGGUGAGUGGAAUUCCUGGUGUAGCGGUGAAAUGCGUAGAUAUCAGGAAGAACACCCGUGGCGAAGGCGGCUCUCUGGAACGCAACUGACGCUGAGACGCGAAAGCGUGGGGAGCAAACAGG
rnacentral:rRNA from 1 species